rnacentral:rRNA from 1 species
UACGAAGGGGGCUAGCGUUGCUCGGAAUCACUGGGCGUAAAGGGUGCGUAGGCGGGUCUUUUAAGUCAGGGGUGAAAUCCUGGAGCUCAACUCCAGAACUGCCUUUGAUACUGAAGAUCUUGAGUUCGGGAGAGGUGAGUGGAACUGCGAGUGUAGAGGUGAAAUUCGUAGAUAUUCGGAAGAACACCAGUGGCGAAGGCGGCUCACUGGCCCGGUACUGACGCUGAUGUGCGAAAGCGUGGGGAGCAAACAGG